UUCNUAAGGUACCGUCAGCCACAGAUAAAUCCAUGGGUUUCUUCCCUUAUAAAAGCAGUUUACAACCCGUAGGGCCGUCAUCCUGCACGCGGGAUGGCUGGAUCAGGCUUGCGCCCAUUGUCCAAUAUUCCUU
rnacentral:rRNA from 1 species